UGGCGGACGGGUGAGAAGCGCGUGAGGAGCUGUCUUAUGCAGGGGGACAACAGUUGGAAACGGCUGCUAAUACCCCAUAAGCCGAGAGGUAAAAGGAGCAAUCCGGCAGAGGAGGUACUCGCGUCCUAUCAGCUAGUAGGUUGGGUAACGGCCGACCUAGGCGAAGACGGGUAGCCGGCCUGAGAGGGCGAACGGCCACACUGGAACUGAGAUACGGUCCAGACUCCUACGGGAGGCAGCAGUGGGGAAUAUUGGGCAAUGGGGGCAACCCUGACCCAGCGACGCCGCGUGGGUGAAGAAAUCCUUCGGGAUGUAAAGCCCUGUUGUAUGGGAAGAGCAGAAGACGGUACCAUACGAGGAAGCCCCGGCAAACUACGUGCCAGCAGCCGCGGUAAUA
rnacentral:rRNA from 1 species